UACAACACUAACGUUACCAUUGAAUAAUGUCAUGUUGAUGUCAAUGUCACCAUCGUAACAUAGUUAUUUGUUUAUCGUCUGUAGUAUUGUAUUUUUACGUAGCAAUUAGUAUCCACGAAUUAAACUGAGCCAUAAUAACUUAAAAUGUCAGAUAAUUUCAUUCCUCUAACUCAGAGUACGCCGGUUCAAGGCAAAUGGCAACGUGAAUACAAUCAGCAACAAAGGUAUCAUAACAAUCGUCCUAGUGGAGGCCCAAGACGUCAUCAAAAUAAUUGGGGGAAUGGCUCGAGAAGUAGCUAUGGCAGCAACUCAAGCAACAACAGUUACGGGCAAGAUCGGAGCGGUAUAGAUGCUUACCUACAGCCCUCAAUGCUGCGAGACCCAUGGGAAAA